AGCUAUUGCUGAGUAUGUACAGCUGCACAAAAGGAGGAGGACAGAGCACCAUACAGAGUGAUGGGGUGGACAUGAAAUGCAAUCACUGUGAGGACAUGAGGACACCUGAUACUGGCAAGAAGUAACUAAAGGUCCUUGGAAGUUGCUCUUGGUGGCUGCCUGCCUACAGUCAAGUCUUCAAACAGGUCUGGAGUUGAAUUUUGAGCAUUUGUACAACAGCAAUCCAAACCUCUAAACAGCUGAUUUCCAUCAGAGGUUACAAAUGCAGGGGGGAAACAGGGCAGACCAGUCAACAAGACAAGGUGGAAUCAAAGACAUGGACAGCGGUAAAAGAACUUCUGGAUUGCAGGCUACCAGACCACCUGAACAUGGUUCCACACUUACCUUGACAUACCUC